rnacentral:rRNA from 1 species
UACGAAGGGGGCUAGCGUUACUCGGAUUGACUGGGCGUAAAGGGCGCGUAGGCGGUUCGUACAGUCAGACGUGAAAUUCCUGGGCUCAACCUGGGGGCUGCGUUUGAUACGUGCGGGCUUGAGUUCGGAAGAGGGUCGUGGAAUUCCCAGUGUAGAGGUGAAAUUCGUAGAUAUUGGGAAGAACACCGGUGGCGAAGGCGGCGACCUGGUCCGAGACUGACGCUGAGGCACGAAAGCGUGGGGAGCAAACAGG